UCCUGCUUGCAGCCAAACCUGAACAUGCCUGAUCCCGUCUGAUCUCUGAAGCUAUGCAGGGUUAGAUCUGGUCAGUGUUUGGAUUAAGACCGAGUGGGUA
rnacentral:rRNA from 1 species